rnacentral:rRNA from 1 species
UACAGAGGGGGCAAGCGUUAUUCGGAAUUAUUGGGCGUAAAGAGCUCGUAGGCGGUUUGUCGCGUCUGCUGUGAAAUCCCGAGGCUCAACCUCGGGCUUGCAGUGGGUACGGGCAGACUAGAGUGCGGUAGGGGAGACUGGAAUUCCUGGUGUAGCGGUGGAAUGCGCAGAUAUCAGGAGGAACACCGAUGGCGAAGGCAGGUCUCUGGGCCGCAACUGACGCUGAGGAGCGAAAGCAUGGGGAGCGAACAGG